GUGCGUCAGUGCAUCAUUGUAAACCAGCUGUUGUGUUCAAGGACGUAAGAGACUGAAGCCAGGUUCAACCUGUACUAAGAGAGGUGAUGUACUUGCUGUACAGGUCACUAAACUUUAAUGGGUUACACAAAAACAGACAAACAGAAACAUAACCUCAAAUUUCAGUCUCCAGUUUAGAGAAUCACAAUUAGAAAACUCCCACAGACACAGGAGGAAAAUAUAAACUCCCCAAAGAAAAGCCUCACCGGUUCUCCUUGUGAUGAGGAUGACUGGAUUAACCUGCUAUGGAAGCCUGGGGCAGAUGUAAACUACUGGGCCCCUAAGCCUUUGUUCUCCCAGCUUUCUGCAAUCUCUACAAUUUCUGUAUACUUCUGGUCUCUGAUUUGCAGCAGUUCUUGUCAACGAAGGGUGUGAGAAUUCACAGCGACUAAAGUAAAAGAAGACGAGACAGGUCGAAGGUAAGUGGAACAUCACAUUAAAUAUUGAUGGACGGCAGUGUUGUGUUUUUCUCCUUUUUAAAGGCUCAGCCGAUGGUUUUCAUAUCAGGAUGUCAUUCUUAGUCAUUAUUUACACGUAGAAACAGAAUAUUUGACAUAUACAUUCUUCCCCUCUGAGAAGAGAUGUUUUCAUCACGUAGCAUUGCUCCCAGCUUCCAGGUGGCUGUUAGAUAACAUGUCCCUGCAUGCAUGUAUGUGUUUUUUUUUACUCCGCUCUGCAAGGCGAUAAGUCAUGUCAGGUUCUGAAUAUUCCAAAGUUGUUUGGGGGCUGCAGAUUGGAGGGAAGCUCUUACCUUCUGUUGACUCAGUCAGUGUUGGAAAGAGACAUGACGCACUGAAACUUGACUCCUUGCUCUUAGCUUGGAGAGCCUGGACUAUAUAAAGACGAAACUGUUUCUGUAAGGUACAUUUGAACCCUCUUAACCUCUGAACUAACGCGCACACACACACACACACACACACACACACCACUACACACGUGCACACCAACUUAUCAUUUAUUUGCUUAGUCAGUUCCCCUAUCAACUGACUUAUCUGUCCAAACCUCGCCACUCUUUUUUCUAAAGAAUGCACUCUUGAGCAUCCUCAUCGGCCUGUUAGCAUUCAUCCGGUGCAUCUGACAAGAAUGGCCACUCUGUUUCUCUCCAAUCAAUCAGAGGGCCCCCUGAAAAACCGCAUCGCCCUCUGAACGCCAGCACCUCUGUCUUCACUGCUCUUCUGGCGUCUGCAGGACUACGGGUGUGAUUCCGGGCACUGGGAUACCUAGAAACUGGCCCUUGUGGUCAGUGCCAGUUUCCAUGGUUCCCCCCUGUCAAAGGGACGUUCUUUCUGGGCCUGGUGUGUUUGUAAAGUCCCCGUGAAAAGAUGGCUCUGUGUCCUGAGGUCCCGAAUCCACCAGCAGCAGAAUUCCUCUGUGACUCCGGCCGAGUUGGGGUUGUGCAGCACAGCGGAUGGAAGGGAAAGUGGGGGGAGAAAAACAGGAGCAGCAUGUUUGGGUCCUGGCUCAGUGCCACGCAUCAGUUAGGCACUCCAGGGACUGGGUCACAGUAGGGGUUCACAGGAGGGAAGUAAACAGGCCACUGUAUACACAUUUACACCAGCAAACACACAGUUCAACAGUGAAGACAUCUGUGCAUGUUGUGGGUCCUGCCAUUCAGAGUUUCCAUUUCUAUUCUGUAAAGGAUUAAGCACCAAUUUUCACCUUGAGGUAAUUUUAUGAUGUACUUCCAAAAAUCUUUCAUUAUGAUGAUUCAUUCACAUUUUAGGACUCAAUUAUUCUACAGUAUAGUUUACAUACUUAGAUAUUUUCACAAUGUAGUUUAUUAAUGACUCAUCUUUUAGCUAUUGGCACACCCUGCAUUUUCUUGCUUGGUCACAUGUGAGUGAUUGUAUACACACACAGUAGGAAGUUUCUGUUUGAUGUGAAACACCCACACUGUGACCGACUGUAAGGAGAGGGCAAUAAGGGGUUUUGAAAUAUGAAUAUAUUGCUCAGGAAACUAUGCAAGCUGUUUUCUCUCUGACGUUUUUCUUAGGAAUCAGGACCAGAAAUUGUACAUCAGACAUCCCUUCUACUUGUCUCAAGUUUUGAACAGCAGCUGACUUGACCUCCUAGUGUUACAAAAGCACAAUUGUCCCAGGCUGAACACUGAACACUGAUGGUCAUGACAGUGAGUUUUCUGAAUAAUCUGAAUAGCAUCACUGAAGCUUCUACAGAUUUGACAUCUUGCUCCAGGACACGUAAGGAGGACAGUUGUUGGCUGUCACGGUGUCCUGAGGCUGCUGGGUUAUCCUGUUGAUGGACAUGACGUGUGACUGUGCUUCCCUGCAGCAUCCCAGGAGUCACUCCAGCUCUGAUUUGAUCUGAAAAGCUGAGCAAAAAAACAUGACGGAUGUGACAUUCUGUCACUGAUUUUCAGCAUUUUUACGCUCUCCUUUUUCCUGGGCCUGCAGGGAGUUGCUGACAGUCAUUUCACAAUCUACCUAUUCUUUUUGAAAUAUUCUUAAAAUAAAAUGAUGUUAACACUCUUAAUGUUUUUUCCACCAUCACAUCUUCCAAGGGCUCCUCUGUGCCUACACAGAAAAUAGGCUUGUGUACGUCAAUUGUUAUUAUCUUAAUACCACUAUGCAUACAAUAACUCCCUUAAGGAUAAUAUCAAUCUUAAACAGGCAGGGGAAAAUGCUGUGAAUUUUCACCACAGCGAUCAAAACGGGCUGACUCCGCUCAUACUGUCAGCUGAAUGCCUGACUUUGCACUCACUGAAUGGCUCCAUUUCCACUGUGGCUUCUGAAAAAGCACCUGGGACUCCCCACAUCGUGGCAGAUGGCGGCAACAACCACACACCCACUCAGGGUUGGAGGCUUCGCUCUUUGGGUCCAAACAUAACAAUAACCCUCGGAUUGGUCAGCGCUCCUGUGCCGCUCUGCUUUCAAUGAAUUUGCAAUGUUGAAUCCAAGGUUUUCCAUGGUCCAAGCCAAUAAAACCUCUGUCCAGAACAAGAAAAUUAUUUGUCAGUGCAACAUGGCCAUUGAUUUAAAUUGGAUAUCUUGUGGGGCCACCAGGGGCCUGUUUCAGGAAGCAGGUUUAGCUAACUCUGAGUUAAAACCUUAACUCUAGGUUGACCAACUCUGAGCUGUCAAACUCAGAGUUUUGGGUUUCAGAACAGCUGAUAACAGUUAGUUCAAUCAACUCUGAGUCAAAGUAACUCUUGAGUGAAGCUUGUGCAUGAGAUACUAAGCCCUCAUCAAUGGAGCACAGAUAACAUGAUUCACCAUGACAACAGGAGAAACGAAGCGCUCAGUCCUCC